GUGCAGCAGUCGCGAAAACUUCACACUGUGCGAAAGCACGAUGAGGGAAUCCCAAGUGCUUGCACGUAAGUGUAAGCUGUUUCUCUGUUUAAAACGCAGAGAGAGUAAGGGCUGGGUAAGACGGGUGCCAGCCGCCGCGGUAAUACCUGCAGCUCAAGUGGUGACCGUUAUUAUUGGGCCUAAAACGUCCGUAGCCGGUUUAAUAAAUGCCUGGGUAAAUCGUGUAGCUUAACUAUACGAAUUCCGGGUAGACUGUUAAACUCGAGACCGGGAGAAGUUAGAGGUACUCCUGGGGUAGAGGUGAAAUUCUGUAAUCCUAGGGGGACCACCAGUGGCGAAGGCGUCUAACUAGAACGGGUCUGAUGGUGAGGGACGAAGCCCUGGGGCGCAAACGGGAUUAGAUACCGCGUAG
rnacentral:rRNA from 1 species